CGAGGUAAUUUGUUUUUUUAUUGGAUUCUAGUAUGAAUGGAUUUUUUGUUAUUAAAUAUAUUGAUUUUAAAAAGAAUUUUAAAUUUAUUUAAAAAAUAAUAAAUAAAAUAAAACUAAGAAAAGUCUUUAGAAAUUUAUUAUUUAAUUUAAUUAGGGAAGUAAAAUAAUUAAUAUUUUUUUCUUAAUCAAAAAAAAAAAUUUCUCUAGAGUUAACAGGAAUAAAUAUUAAUUUAUUAUUUUUACAUCGAUGUUGUUUUAUUUAAUAUUAAAAAUGAGAAACUUUUGAGUGAGAGACUGUUCUUCUUUUUUUAAUACGUGAAAUUAGUUUAAUU
rnacentral:rRNA from 1 species